rnacentral:rRNA from 1 species
GCUUAGAGUUUGAUCCUGGCUCAGAAUGAACGCUGGCGGUAUGCUUAACACAUGCAAGUCGAACGAUGUCUUAGGACAUAGUGGCGGACGGGUGAGUAACGCGUGAGAACCUGCCUUCAAGAUGGGGACAACAGUUGGAAACGACUGCUAAUACCCAAUAAGCCGAAAGGUCAAAGAAAUUCGCUUGAAGAGGGGCUCGCGUCCGAUUAGCUAGUUGGUGGGGUAAAGGCUUACCAAGGCAGCGAUCGGUAGCUGGUCUGAGAGGACGAGCAGCCACACUGGGACUGAGACACGGCCCAGACUCCUACGGGAGGCAGCAGUGGGGAAUUUUCCGCAAUGGGCGCAAGCCUGACGGAGCAAUACCGCGUGAGGGAGGAAGGCUUUUGGGUUGUAAACCUCUUUUCUCAAGGAAGAAAAAAAUGACGGUACUUGAGGAAUCAGCAUCGGCUAACUCCGUGCCAGCAGCCGCGGUAAUACGGAGGAUGCAAGCGUUAUUCGGAAUUAUUGGGCGUAAAGCGUCCGCAGGUGGUGCCUCAAGUCUGCUGUCAAAGACCGAAGCUUAACUUCGGGCAGGCGGUGGAAACUGAAGCACUAGAGUACGGUAGGGGUAGAGGGAAUUUCCAGUGUAGCGGUGAAAUGCGUAGAGAUUGGAAAGAACACCAGUGGCGAAGGCGCUCUACUGGACCGUAACUGACACUCAGGGACGAAAGCUAGGGUAGCGAAAGGGAUUAGAUACCCCUGUAGUC